rnacentral:lncRNA from 1 species
CAGAAAAAGAAAGUUUUGCAAAGUGCAGGGUACAUACUCAAAACAUUACACAUAGACAUAUCAUAGAGUCAAACUGCAGAAAACCAAAGAUAAAGAGACAAUAUAGAGGAAAUCCAGGGAUUGGAGAAUGCAUUCCAUGCAGAAGGACAAAGAUAAGAAUUACAGCAGAUGUCUCAUUAAAAAGACAAACAAACAUGCAAGCGAGAGUGGAAUGAAAUCUCUAAAAUGCUGAAAAAAACCCUGCAUCAGUGAAUUCUGUUUCCAUUGAGAUUAUCCUUCAAAUGUGAAAAAGAAAUACUUUUACAGACAAACAAAAACUGGGAGAAUUCCCAGUCAGCACACUUGCCCUUCAAGAAUGUUAAAAGAAGACUUUCAAGCAGAAGGAAAAUGAUAGCGAUCAGACAUUUGAUUUUACAUAAAAGAAAAGAGAACAUCAGAGAAGGAAUAAACGAAGGAAGAUCAGCCCUGAGCUACCAUCUGCCGCCAGUCCUCCUCUUUUUGCUGAGGAAGACUGGCCCUGAGCUAACAUACGUGCCCAUCUUCCCCUACUUUAUAUGUGAAACGCCUACCACAGCAUGGCUUGACAAGUGGUGUGUAGGUCCACACCCGGAAUCUGAAAUGGCAAACCCUGGGCUGCUGAAGUGGGACUAAGAACUCAACUGCUGUGCCACCAGGCCAGCCCCUACAAUGCAUAUAUUUUUAAUCACAAAUUAAUGUAGCUUUUCUAGGGUAUUUUGCUUAUAUGCAAUUUUUGCCAUAGGUGCUGAGUUCAGAAAGUGAUAUACUUUAAGAUGUUCUCCCUUUGUAAUCUUCAAAAUAGAAAAUAAAUAAAUUAAUAAUAAAGGCCAAAAUAGAAAGAUAAGAUUUAUUUUAACCAGAAAUCAGAUAUGGAAAAG